AGAGUGGCUGUUUUCAGUAUGGCUUCAGUUCUUUUGCCCGAAUAGAGGAAAACUUGCAGGUUAAAUGUCCAGUGCAACAGCCAAGAGGACAGAGUAUUGCAGCAAGCGCACCUGGUGGAUGUUUCUGAUGAUGUUUGGCUAGUGGGAGGCUCCUGGGCCUAUUACCAGAUACCGUCCCAGUUACCCUGGGUUCCGUGGACUCACUGAAAGUGGGGGUGAAGGAUCCCCAGCAUACUCAGUCCUCUGUGACCAUGACCUGGAACUUGUGAAUGAACCAACUGCGAAUUUUCUAAACCGUUGGCUGCUGUUGUUAUUGUUAAAUAGUGGAGGCAUUUGGUGUAAUCUUUUUCAAUCCACACUUCAUUCCCCCAAACCAGAACAAUGUUAGGCAUGUAAAAGACACUGAGACAUUUGGCGGAUGAGUGAGUGAGCUGAGGCCAUCCUUGGCUUUGUUGCAGGACAGCCUUCCUUGUCGGCCUGCUGCUGGCUCUGCUGGUGUGGGCG